AUUGUGUACUUCCUUGGUUCCACA
rnacentral:siRNA from 1 species